ACUAGCUAAACUAGAUAAGUCAAAUUGAAUCCUGAAGAACAAUGAGAGUGAACAACUCACAAAGUUUGUAAUAUUUCAUAAAAUUAUCAAAGUCAAGUUGUGUAACCUUUUACAAUGGCAUGAUAAAACAAUUUAUAGACUUAGAAUGCUAAGGGUCAAAUUCGUCCACUAAUGGCUUACAUGCAUAAGGCCGUACAAUGUAUAAUGUAGAUACAUGAAUAGUUGGGUGCAAUGUAUGACCAAAUGGUCACAUUCUUCAUCCUUGGUCGGUCAUGAAUCAUUUGGGUUGUUGAAGAGUCAAGUCGUCCCCCUUAGGAAGUUUAUGGAUGGAUAAAUUCGUUACUCUUGAGUAGAUUCAUGAAUGAUCACAUUUAAUGUUUCCAUUUUAAUGUAAAACUCCUCCUCUUGCCGUUCAUGCAUAUGGAUGAUCCUUUGAAUUUGGCCAAGCAUCAAGUGCAUGAAUCCAUGUAUUUGGCUCUUUCAUAUGAAUGGUCACAUGCACCAAAUAUGAUGGCAUGUGUUUCAAGAUUCCUUGAAUGUACUUGUACAUGCAUUCGACCUUA
rnacentral:lncRNA from 1 species